UCAUCAAGGCUAGUCAAAGAGGAACAUUGAUUUAGAAUGUCACAGGGUCCUCUGGAACCUCUCGGAACAGCUGCUCUUCUGUGUCUGAUUAACGUAAGGCCAUUGGAAGUGUUUUUCUUCAAGUGGGUUGUUGAUAUGUGGGCCAGACAGUUCUAUUUCGGUCGCUCCCUUAGCUGUAGUGAGUCAAAUGAUGCUAGCAGUGAGAAGAAGCAGAAAAUGACCACAAGCUCAUCAGUAGAAUGUCACCCGUGCGUUCUUUGGAGAAAAGAAAUGAUGAUGAUUAUUUGGCUGUUGCUUUGUUAAUGGCACACGGUUGCCAGAGUUCGGGAACACAAUGCUUUGUAUUGUAAUUAGCUGGGGAUUUUGUGUAGAGAAGAAGACGGCUGUCAUCCACAUGAAGUCAUGCUGGUUGUCUUAAGCUGCUGUCUUAACUCUUCCCCCCUUGUACCCAUGCUGUUCUAGGCUUCUAGUGUGCUGCAGAACAUGAAAACACUUCACGGACAGGAUCUGCUUUUGGUUCAUGGAACUGCAGACGCAAAUGUUCAUUUUCAGCAUUCGGCAGAACUCAUCCAACGUUUAAUAAAGAUUGGGGCAAACUACUCAAUGCAGAUCUACCCGGACGAAGGCCAUUUCCUGUCACCUAAGAGCCAACGGCACUUCACGGAGUCCCUGAUUGGCUACUUCAGAGUGUGUCUGCAGGGAUACGGAUCAUUGUUACCCGAGCAACCGAAGGAGGAGGAGUGAUGGGGCCUCUGGACAAGCAAGGAAAGCUCUUUGAAUGCUGUACACUGCACCGUGCUGGGGAUUGAGAUGUUGGCACAGGAUCGCUGAUGAGUGUUUGUGUGCGUGUGUGUGUGUGCGCGUGUGUGUGCGUGCGUGUGUGUAAAUCUCCAAACUAGCACAUAAGUUAACGGACAACUAUUACGGUUGUCAGUUUUUUUUUUUUUUUUUUUUAACUCAGUUGAUUGACAGAUUCUCUACACACCUUGAUUUUUGCCUGUACAUUACUUUCGUCACCUCCAUAACCGCAUGCUUGUGUUGGCUGGUUUAGGAGCUGUGAAAACAGACAAUUUCCCCUUCUUUCAGUGCACGUCUCCUCAUUAAUAAAAUCAACAUGCACAAGAAGAUAUACUUCAGUGUUUCAGUUCAUUUGUUGAUGUGCUGUUGCAUCAUGGUCAUGCUCUCAACUUCACACCUCGUUUGCCACCGGACGAAGGAACACAUACUGUACAGGGCACAUGUGUAUUUGCAGACUUUCUGCUCCAUCUGAGCGAGAAUAUAGACACUGUUUUAGAGGGAAAGGUUGUACCCUUUGGUUUAAUACAUUUUGGUUUAAAACAAUGGUGAACGUGGGCAUGGUAUCAAUUGUGUAUCAAGUCAACUAUUGUGUUCUUUGCUAAUAUGGCUUCUGUUGGAUAUUUGAAUAA